rnacentral:rRNA from 1 species
UACAGAGGUCUCAAGCGUUGUUCGGAUUCAUUGGGCGUAAAGGGUGCGUAGGCGGCGCGGUAAGUCGGGUGUGAAAUUUCGGAGCUUAACUCCGAAACUGCAUUCGAUACUGCGGUGCUUGAGGACUGGAGAGGAGACUGGAAUUCAUGGUGUAGCAGUGAAAUGCGUAGAGAUCAUGAGGAAGACCAGUGGCGAAGGCGGCUCUCUGGGACGGUACUGACGCUGAGACGCGAAAGCGUGGGGAGCGAACAGG